AUUGAACGCUGGCGGCAGGCCUAACACAUGCAAGUCGAGCGAGCGGCGGACGGGUGAGUAAUGUCUGGGAAUCUGCCUGAUGGAGGGGGAUAACUACUGGAAACGGUAGCUAAUACCGCAUACCAUCAGAUGAACCCAUAUGGGAUUAGCUAGUAGGUGAGGUAACGGCUCACCUAGGCGACGAUCCCUAGCUGGUCUGAGAGGAUGACCAGCCACACUGGGACUGAAACACGGCCAAGACUCCUACGGGAUGCAGCAGUGGGGAAUAUUGCACAAUGGGCGCAAGCGUGAUGCAGCCAGGCCGCGUGUAUGAAGAAGGCCUUCGGGUUGUAAAGUACUUUCAGUCGGGAGGCGUUACCGACAGAAGAAGCACCGGCUAACCCCGUGCCAGCAGCCGCGGUAAUAC
rnacentral:rRNA from 1 species